AAAAAAAAAUCACUUAAAAUAUUUUAAAGGGGAAAAGAGUUUUCACCAAAAGUCAUCUUUAAAUAGACUGCAGUAGAUGACAAAGUUCCUUUCUAUACCAUCCAAUCCUCAAUGAGAUGCUUUGGCAGUUUUAAGGCAUAUCAGUCUCUAUGAAGAGACAAUGACAUUAAUGAUGUCCGUGGAGAUGGCAAUUGCCUUGAUGGCUCAGUUUGAAUAGACACAACACUACUGGGCUGGUUCUCCAAGUCAGAGGCAAAGCUGCUCUCUUCUCUUAUAUCAAGAGUUUGUUCGACUGAAGUUGGGGCGGGAUAUUCUCCACAGUCUUACUGGCAUUAUUCAAGUUGUUGAUUAAGUGUGGUGAUAUCUCACUCCUUGUCCAGGACACCAAAUUCAUCUUCUAUUGUGACUAGGUCUUUAAUUUCAAAUGGUUCCAAGGAAGGAGCCAAAAACUCAUUUUGUAAAGGGUCUUGAGGACAAUUAUUGUCACACUCCAUAUCUGCCUUCACUUCAGAAUCUUUAUCACUAUCACUGUCAAUGGAAAUAACAACUGGGAAUGUGAAGUAUUAUCUCCAUGAUGUUUCUUAUGCUUCUUCUCAUGUUUCUUCUUUUUCUUUUUAUGAUGUUGAGUUGUAUCAGUAGCUUUCCCUUCAUAAACUAUCUCCACACUUAAACUCCGGGUUCUUCUUUUUCUUUUCUCGGGUUUUGUUUCUCUCUCUGAUGAUCGGCUGUCUAAAAAACUGUCACUCUCAUUUUUGUAAUUUCCACCCAAUUUUGAUGAAGAUUUUUGGUAAUGACUGUCCUUUACUUUAGAAGCAAAUUUGCGAGAUGGUUGAGCAACUUCAUUAGUGCCCUCCAAAUGCCGUGUUGAAUAUUUUCAUUUCCCUCCAGGCUUUUCAUUUCUCACCCGGCCGGCCCUGUAGAUGCAGUUCUUGACCUAUUACUAGACAGUCUCCCC
rnacentral:lncRNA from 1 species